rnacentral:rRNA from 1 species
AUUGAACGCUGGCGGCAUGCCUUACACAUGCAAGUCGAACGGCAGCACGGGUGCUUGCACCUGGUGGCGAGUGGCGAACGGGUGAGUAAUACAUCGGAACAUGUCCUGUAGUGGGGGAUAGCCCGGCGAAAGCCGGACUAAUACCGCAAACGAUCAACGGAUGAAAGCGGGAGACCUUCGGGCCUCGCGCUAGCGGGUUGGCCGAUGGCUGAUUAGCUAGUUGGUGGGGUAAAGGCCUACCAAGGCGACGAUCAGUAGCUGGUCUGAGAGGACGACCAGCCACACUGGGACUGAGACACGGCCCAGACUCCUACGGGAGGCAGCAGUGGGGAAUUUUGGACAAUGGGCGAAAGCCUGAUCCAGCAAUGCCGCGUGUGUGAAGAAGGCCUUCGGGUUGUAAAGCACUUUUGUCCGGAAAGAAAUCCUUGGCUCUAAUACAGUCGUGGGAUGACGGUACCGGAAGAAUAAGCACCGGCUAACUACGUG